GUUGUACGGAACUGUGUAGAGUCUGACGCUUAAACAAAUUGAUGUCGGGAUGUAUAAAUUUAUUCUUAGCUUCCAGGCUCAUUGUGCGUGCAUGUCUGCUAGUUAAUCAGAAUAAGAAAUGCAGUGUUAGCUUUUUCCAGGCUCAUUGUGCGUGCAUGGCUGCUAGUUAAUCAGAAUAAGAAAUGCAGUGUUCGAGUGUUCCGACUGCUUUGAAAGCAUUCCCUCUUGCAAGAUUGUUGAUAACAAGACAAGCUUGUAGCAAAUUAUUCAUUGGAGGUCUUUCUCAUGACACCAACGAACCUGUACUCAAGGAAGCUUUUGAGCAACAUGGUGAAAUCAUUGAAGUUAAGGUUAUAUGUGAUCAUC